rnacentral:rRNA from 1 species
GGAUUAGUGGCGAACGGGUGAGUAACACGUGAGUAACCUGCCCUUGACUUCGGGAUAACUCCGGGAAACCGGGGCUAAUACCGGAUAUGAGCCGUCCUCGCAUGGGGGUGGUUGGAAAGUUUUUCGGUCAGGGAUGGGCUCGCGGCCUAUCAGCUUGUUGGUGGGGUGAUGGCCUACCAAGGCGACGACGGGUAGCCGGCCUGAGAGGGCGACCGGCCACACUGGGACUGAGACACGGCCCAGACUCCUACGGGAGGCAGCAGUGGGGAAUAUUGCACAAUGGGCGAAAGCCUGAUGCAGCGACGCCGCGUGAGGGAUGAAGGCCUUCGGGUUGUAAACCUCUUUCAGCAGGGAAGAAGCGCAAGUGACGGUACCUGCAGAAGAAGCGCCGGCUAACUACUUGCCACCUGCCGCGGUAAUACGUAAGGCUCUAGCGUUGUCCGGAAUUAUUGGGCGUAAAGAGCUCGUAGGCGGUUUGUCGCGUCUGGUGUGAAAACUCGAGGCUCAACCUCGAGCUUGCAUCGGGUACGGGCAGACUAGAGUGCGGUAGGGGAGACUGGAAUUCCUGGUGUAGCGGUGGAAUGCGCAGAUAUCAGGAGGAACACCGAUGGCGAAGGCAGGUCUCUGGGCCGCAACUGACGCUGAGGAGC